GUCUAUGGCCAUGCUACCCUGAACAAGCCCAAUCCCGUCUGAUCUCGGAAGCUAAACAGGUUCAGGCCUGGUUAGUACUUGGAUGAGAGACCACCUAGGAAGACCAAGUGCUGUAAAAA
rnacentral:rRNA from 1 species